ACAAAAAUUUGGGCCAAAAACCUUUAGUGACGACCCAUUUGAUCGCCACUAAUCCAAUUUUGGAGGAGUAAGUAAAGAAUCUCAGUUCACUACAAGCGAUCCAUAUCUCUCCAAAACCCUUAUCUCCCCUGAAGCCUAUCGUCUCCCCAAAUCCAAAUCCACAUCCUCCUUGUCUCUCUAAAAUUGAAGCCCGUCGUCUUCAAAAUCACAACUGCUUCGUUUCUCCAAAACUGAAACCCAGUCGUGGAAGAUUUCUUUGAAACCCCAUCGCCAAUGGAAGGUUUUCCCCAAUGGAAGCUGAAAUGGAAGGAGAUAUAGAACUUCAUAGUGCCCUCGAUGAUGGCGUCGUUAAGUUACCCUUUCUCUCUAUCAGUAUUAGUGCUUCUCUUCUCUUUUCUUUUUCUUGUGAAAAAGCCCUAAUUAGCAGAGGAUUUAAAACCUUUUAUUUUGUAAGGGAUUGGAUGAGACGAAGAAACAUUAAAGAAGAUGGUAUAUGAAUCUUCUGCUCUCCGUACGAUGCAAGCCAAAGUUGUGAAAGACAUGAGUUCUGUUCAAGGAAUUGGAUGGGACGAAGAAAUGAUUAAAGGAAAUGGAAGAUGAGGUUGCUGCUCCCCGUGAGAUGCAAGCCAAAGUUGCAUUUCUAUGCAUUGAGUUGAUGUUAUCAAGAAUGGAAAUUUCACUGUGCUAGUUUUUGCUUUGGAGUUGGCUGGAGGAUGAGUAAAGUAGCCCUUUCCUUGGCCUGGUUUUUGAUGAUUCCGGGUUACUACUAAUUAUGUGAUGUAGUCCGAAGGAUUUUGGUAUUAUCAUGCUGAAGCAACACACUGGAUGCUCGUCUAUUGAAUUCUCGAUACUCCUCACACACAACUUGCUAAUGCUUCUCAUUAUGUUGGUAUUGGUGCUCUCAUUCUGAACAACAAUGGGCAGGUAUUGGUAGUUAAAGAAAAAUUUAAAAAAUGCACGGGGACUUGGGAGUUUCCCACUGGCAUUGCUGAAGAGGUGUACAAAAUUGUAUCUUUUUCUAAUCAACAUUGCUGAAGAGGUGUACAAAUUUAUAUCUUUUUCUAUUCAGCUUUUAACAAGUUAGCUUCUCCAGUGAGCACUUCUGGAGUUGCUCAUAAAGAACAAGGUUCUUAAACAACCACAAAUGACGGUUGACCAAGGAAGAGUUUGAAGACACUUAGAUUUUAUUUUUUCUUUUCUUCUCGUAUGUAUUUGCGUACAAUGACAAUGAGCAAUGAAGUAUUGUGUAGUAUAUAUUUAACUCACUUUGUGAUAAUGAAAGCAUUUAUAAUAUUUGACUUGAGAAAUA